rnacentral:rRNA from 1 species
UUUUAUUUGAGAGUUUGAUCCUGGCUCAGGAUGAACGCUGGCGGCGUGCCUAACACAUGCAAGUUGAGCGAUUUACUUCGGUAAAGAGCGGCGGACGGGUGAGUAACGCGUGGGUAACCUACCCUGUACACACGGAUAACAUACCGAAAGGUAUGCUAAUACGGGAUAAUAUAUUUGAGAGGCAUCUCUUAAAUAUCAAAGGUGAGCCAGUACAGGAUGGACCCGCGUCUGAUUAGCUAGUUGGUAAGGUAACGGCUUACCAAGGCAACGAUCAGUAGCCGACCUGAGAGGGUGAUCGGCCACAUUGGAACUGAGACACGGUCCAAACUCCUACGGGAGGCAGCAGUGGGGAAUAUUGCACAAUGGGCGAAAGCCUGAUGCAGCAACGCCGCG